GAUGAACGCUGGCGGCGUGCCUAAUACAUGCAAGUCGAGCGAACAGACGAGGAGCUUGCUCCUCUGACGUUAGCGGCGGACGGGUGAGUAACACGUGGAUAACCUACCUAUAAGACUGGGAUAACUUCGGGAAACCGGAGCUAAUACCGGAUAAUAUAUUGAACCGCAUGGUUCAAUAGUGAAAGACGGUUUUGCUGUCACUUAUAGAUGGAUCCGCGCCGCAUUAGCUAGUUGGUAAGGUAACGGCUUACCAAGGCAACGAUGCGUAGCCGACCUGAGAGGGUGAUCGGCCACACUGGAACUUAGACACGGUCCAGACUCCUACGGGAGGCAGCAGUCGGGAAUCUUCCGCAAUGGGCGAAAGCCUGACGGAGCAACGCCGCGUGAGUGAUGAAGGUCUUCGGAUCGUAAAACUCUGUUAUUAGGGAAGAACAAAUGUGUAAGUAACUAUGCACGUCUUGACGGUACCUAAUCAGAAAGCCACGGCUAACUACGUG
rnacentral:rRNA from 1 species